UAUUUGUAAUAUGAGGAUAAUAAAAGGGUCUCUUUCAUAAGACUGAUGUGAGGAUUGCUUGAAACAAUGUAUGUAAUGCUGUGCCUGACGUUAGCACACUGUAAAUACUAGUGUGUAUAUAUAUCAUAUGUAUAUAUACUGUGUGUAUAUAUGUAUAUUAUUACCCAUGAGGAGAUGGGGCCAGUAAAGUUGAGUGACUUAAAUAAGGUUCCUUAGCUUGGUAGUGGAUGGGAAAGGACUUGAGCUUGUCUUCUCAAUCCUAUCUGGUUGCUCUUAACACAGGUGCAGAAAAGUUUUUUUGCUUUUGGUAAAAUGUAUGACAUGAGCCAUACUUACUAUGGAGGGAAACUAGGCCAGACAAAUGACAUGAAGUAUGCAUUAUUUUCAGGUAUUCAGCAAAUUGGAGGCUAUGUACCAGAUGUGCUAGAUUCUUAAUUGUGUUAAGAAGACAAAGCUUUAAGAGUCACAGGAAUACUAAGCAGGAGAGGUUUGGGAAAAAGAGUUUAGAGAUACACUUUAAUACUGAAGUUUCUGUCUUGGAAGAUGCUUUGUCCAACCUUUGCCCAUCCCACUAUACUGCUAAUCUCAUUCCUCUCUCUGCCCCUUAAGAAAAGACUAUGGCUUUCUUAGGCUAUAAUUGUAACAAUUAAUGAAUGUAAACUGGUCCUCUUCCUUUUUCACCAUCCCUUCCCUAACAGUUCAGUCCAAAAGCCAUUAAGUGGGGCUGAGCAAGGUAAAGCUAUCAUGACCCAGAGCUGGGUGUCACUAAAACACAGUGAAGAGCAUCGUGAAGGAGCAGCCCAAAUGAAUGGGAGGGGUAAUCCAUGCAGAAAGGAGGUCCAUUCAGGAUACCUGAGCCCAAGUGGUGGAGUGGGAGGCAUCUGUGCAGUGGGUGGUGAUGGUGACUGCCCAACAAGGGAUGUCAGCUUGAGCAGGGUGAGGAGAGGGCAUUUGUACAGGGACAGUCCCAGCAUGAGGUGUCAGAACCUGAAUGGGGUAAAAUGGGCUAUGUAGACGGCAGUGACAGCAGCAAUGGAAUAUUGCUUACAUUCAGGGAUAUUGAUCAAAAGUAAAUACAUUUGUUAAAAUGGGAGCCAGUUUUCUCACUGCCCUAGAAGGGGUUAUAAACAUGAAGAGAGAAAAUUAGAAUGAACUUUGUAGUGUUGGUUUGGAACUGGAGUUACUGGUAUAAACUCAUAUAGUUUUCAAGAUAGAGAAAUAAUAAUAGAUGAAAAUGUGUGUUUUUGUGCACACAUGUGAGAAGACGGAAUCAGUGACACUCCAAUGAGCAUACCUGGCACCUAGAUCUUGGUUUCUAAAUAUAUUCUUCACUAAAAUAAACCAGGACUUCUUGGAGAAAUGGCUGUGGCAGAGAAAGUACAAGAUGAUACUGUAACAUCUUACUCCAGAAGCAUGCUAGAAAGCAAAGAGAAUGGACAUGAGGUAGCAGGAAGGAAUGAAAGAGUGAAGAUAAUGAAGUGUCUUUGUGCAGGUUACUAGGGGCUUCUGGGGGGCAGUGACCUAAUCCAGUCGAUGACUCCAACCUUGAGACUUCCAGGUUGCAGAUGCACAUGAUAAGCCUCCAAAUUACAGGUGAGCAAGUGGUGGCUCCCUCCACAAACUGUAGCCUUGUAUAUGGCUAGGGCCCAGAAAAGUUAAGAAAUUUACUUUUUUUUCUUUUUAACCAUACCAAAAUUUUAUAUGAGUUCUCCCUCCCUCAUAGAUAGAAUGUUAAAGACCAUCAAGUCUGGUAUUCACAAAAAAUUUUAAGUCCCUUGGGGUGCUUGGCAAAAACAUGGCAUGAUUUAUUCUUCUCAGAAAUUAAGCAUGCACAUAGGCAUGUUAAGGCUUUUGAGAAAUCCUGUAGUAAAGAGACCUAUUUACCUUGCCUUAAUCCAGCAUUCUCCAAAAUUAUUUGACCACGUAACCUUUUUCCCCCAGCAGUAACACUUAUUGAUACCCCAUGGAACUACUACUACUCCUUAAAACAUACUUUGGAAAUGUUAAUCCAAUUCAACGAGCACAUUUUAAAGAUGAAGAAACUAAGGCCCAGAGCAGAUGGAAGGCACCUAGGUCCAGGACACAUAAUAAGGUUCUCAAGACCUGGAGAAGACUCAGGCUCCUAGGUAAGUUCUCCUUCUCCCCGCUUUCCUUGCAUUAACCCCAGGCUAAGAACUGGGAUUUCAACAAGGAUAGCUCUGCCGUGAGGCAUCUUGACAAUAAAUGACUGCCUGCCACAGGCGCUUGUAAUGAAAGGAAUAAUGGAAGGAAAAAGCAGCUCAAUACACUUUUUACAUGAAAAUUCAGUGAAGAUUCCGACCAAGAAAAAUUCCAUGGUGUGCUCCCAACACUCGGUUUAUGAGUUUUCUUAUUUCAGUUUGGUUUCCAGAGACAGCGUAAAUAUCAGUUUCUGCCUAGUAACCGCUGUGCUGAAAUCGCUAUUGCUCUUGAUUUAAUUUAAUCUUAUUAUUUCAUAGUCAUAAAGAAGACAGUAAUGUAAAUUAUUUGUGGGCUUAAACAUCUAUUUAUAUCUUUUUUUUCUUUCUCUUCAGAUAAUAAAAUGGGAAAUUGUUAGACACACAUUCAUCUUCAGAACAGUGAGUCCAGGAGGAAGCUUUCAAAACAGGAGCCCAGCCAAUCGCAAACGUUUCUCUGGACAGACUCUCCUCAGCCCCAGACCCGGCUACUAAGAAAGCCAUAUACCCCAGCACUGUGAAGAUGACAAAUCCUGAAACGAAGCUCGUCAUGCAGUUCACCACACUGGUCACCAAGGCAUCUCUGGAGCAGAAAACCCAAGGGGCCUGAGACAUUUCCAAGUCAGAAAUCUAAGAAGCAUCUGUCUCCAGCCGUGACAAGGCUCGCAAAAGCCAGCAGGACCCCAAAGCCAGGACCGAGAGAGAAGAAGAUCUGGGCGGCCGCAUCCACCCACACCUGCAACACAGCAGAGAUGCUAAAGUAGAUAAUAGUGAAGAUCAGCAUGAUGCAGAGGGCAAGCUGCCAGCUGAUGCCCCCCAGGUCCUGGAGCCCCUUUGAC